AGACAUUAUCAGCUUCACAGGGCGCCCACAAAGAGCACAUGGGAAAAGGCGUUCAAUAGGUGUCUCCAGGGCUCCUCCAAGUCAGGCUCUACAGCUGGGAGACCAGAGUGGCCAUGGAAGGCAUCACUGAGGAGGGAACAUUGAGAUGAUGGCUGAAUAGCCAUCCACGCAGAAAGCUGGGAGAAGAACCUUCUGGACAGGGAGAACAGGAAUUGCAAAGGCCCAAGGUAACCAAGUUCAAUAAAAGGCUACUUUUCCAUCUCCAGUCUUCCGUCCACACCUGAACACACCAUCGUCAACCAGGCCAUCGAGGCCACAAGUUACACACCAUGACCUCAUCACACACUUGAUUUGUUGACUCGGAGCAAGUUACCAGCAAUGAAUUAUCAACCCCUUUCCCAGAAUGGCAAGCCCUGGGGCUAUGUGCAAACUGAGGCGGGAAAAUAAGAGGUGUCAAUAGAGCUGAGUUUGCUCUGGGCCCAGGGCCAUGUAGAUAAGCUGGUUAUCAUCACCAGCUCCAGCUCCAAGAGGCACAGUGGGUGCCACUGCCACCACCAGGAACCCUGGGGUUUGCUUGUCCUCCUGCUGGAACGCCCAGCACACCCACAGGGCCAAGAGGAAAGUAAACGCUCUUGACUAAUCUCCCCCAGUGCUAUCACAGGGGCCCCCCGAAGGUGGCUGCUCCUUUGGCAGAGUCUGGUUCUUCCAUUCCUUCUUGGAAGAUGGCCAUGGGGCAUCAGCACCUGACCAUGAUGUCUGGUGGCUAGAAUUCAACUUGAAAUCAGUUGAGACCCAAGUAAUGCCCAGGCUUUCCCGGUGGGUUUUCCUUGCUCCAUUCUUUGUCUCCAUACAGUGAAGCCCCCAGAAAGCAUCAGUUGUUCAUCCCUCAUCAGGGCCUUCAAAGUUCCAAGGUCUUUCUUGAGCCUCAGAGAGGCAACAAGUCCUUGAAUGCACCCUUGUCUGACCCUCCCAACUCAGCCAAGAAUCCCCUAAAGAUGAAAUAGAACAUUGGGUUUCAAUUGUCGAAGUCUGACCAGAAGAUGUUCCUUACUCUAAAUACAGGCCAGUGUCACACCAACUUACAAGGGUCAGUGUGUUAUGAACAAGGAGGGGAAGCUGUGGGGCUGCCAAGCUGGGCACAAGUCAAGCACUAACCGGCACCACUGCCUCCUGCUUCCUGGUGCCACUCCAGCCGGGGCUGCCCCCACUGUGUCUGGCAGCUUCCAAUAUUGCUUUCCUGCUGCCAUAAGAUGGCAGGUCUGGCAACAGAACUGGAGCCGGACUUAAGGAGAAAGAGGAAGGAACUUCAGCUCUGGCACCUGCAGACCCCCGAAAGUGACCUACGGAAGCUGGCAGCAGGGACUGCAAUUGAGCAUUCUCUCACCUUUCCCUUCUCAGAGCUCCCCAAGCCUAUGCCCAGGUGGGAAGAGGAUUACCUGAGAGCCAGAAGCCCCGGGUCCCAGCACUUCACUAACCUACCUUGCAUCCCUUCUGUAAAUUAUACACCCCAGCUCUCAGUUUCCCCAUCUCCGGGAUAACAGACUGGACUUGUCCAAGAAUAGCAAUCAUUCCCAAUCCAGUGCCGACGCUGGUUGCUAGAACACGUGGCUGAAGGGAUUGUAUGUUGCUCGGGAUUCUGGGGCCACAUCCAGUGGUAGGGGGUGCUGUGGUUCGCUGGCAAUAUCUGCCUUGGACUCAGAAUGGAGCAUGGUAGACCAGGUGCCACGUCACUGACAUGCAGGAGCUAAAGGACCUUUGCACUCCUGCCCAAUGGAACAUUCCAGCACUUGGAUUCUGUGGGAUGAGAUCUGACAGCCAUAAGGCAGAAGUUACCAACUGGGAAGCUCAUGGAUUCUUCAACAGAAACUCGAGUCAGGCUGAUGAAUUACCUUUACUAAAGGAAUGAAUAACAAUAAAAAAAAUUCUAGGUCCAAGACGUGCCAAGAAAGGUUAGAUAUAUUGGACAAUAUUUUAAAAGGAGAGAUGUUUUGGGUGACCUGCUAUUUUGCUGUCCAGCUUGAGAUGAUGCCAAUGGCCACAGAGUAAUAAAAGGGCCACUGAAUAUGGCCUCGUUCCCAUGGCUCACCAGCAGUAAGCAUCUCUACCACCUCCAUGUCUGGAGCAGGAAUUCCAGCAGGAAGGACGCAGCCUCCAGAACCAUUUGACCAGAAGAUCCAAGUGCGACUGGACUGCUGGCCCUGAUACGGCUCCUCAAAGUCUCAAGCUGAUGAUCAGACAACCUCGAGGGGUAGUGGUGGGAGACAGCAGGACGAGGGCCGGAGCCGUGGGCAGGGGAGGCUCAGGAGCAACUCAGCCAGUGUGGGGCCCACCCAGACAAAAUGUUUCCAGCCUGGAUCCUAUCAGGGGAAUUACAGCGGGUGCUCAUCAAGUGGGAGUUCUCAAAAUUCUCUGACUGGCCGACUGCAGGUCAUAAAACUCCACUUCAGAGGAGUCCUGCCCCAUACCCUGGAGGAAGGAAUGCUGCACAGAGAGACCAAGAAGAAUCUCAACAGACGGGCAUUUCUGGGCUUCUCCACUCAGUCUAUCAACACUAGAUCAUUCCCUUUUUGUUCAAUCACACUUUUUUUUUUUUGAGAUAGAGUCUUGCCCAGGCUGGAGUGCAAUGGCGUGAUCUCAGCUCACUGCAACCUCCACCUCCCAGAUUCAAGUGAUUCCCCUGCCUCAGCCUCCCGAGUAACUGGGAUUUCAGGUGUGCACUACCACGCCUGGCUAAUUUUUGUAUUAUUGAGAGGUGACAGCGUGCUGGUCAGGGUUUGCACCCUUAAAUGUCUGUCUUUGUCUUCAGGGAGCCAGGGGAAGAUUUCCACGCCACAGGCUGGAGCUGGUGUCUAUUAAUGAUUCAAACUUUUUUUUUAAAGACUCAUCAAGUGCAGCGGUGAGAGGGAGGGAGUUAAACUCUUUUGGAGGCAGGGCUCAUGCCUGUAAUCCCAGCACUGUUGGAGGUCAAGGCAGGCGAAUCACUUGAGGCCAGGAGUUCGAGACCAGCCUGACCAACACAUUGAAACCCAGUCCCUACUAAAUAUACAAAAAAUCAGCUGGGCAUGGUAGUGCACACCUGUAAUCCAGCUACUUGGGAGGCUGAGGCAUGAGAGUCACUUGAACCCAGAAGGCGGAGGUUGCAGUAAGCCGAGAUCCCACCAUGGCCCUCUAGACCGGGAGACAGAGUGAGACCCUGUCUCAAAAAAUAAUAAUAAUAAAAUAAAUAAAUAAAUAAAUAAAACUCUUUUUGAGGUUCUAUAUUUGUAACCUGUGCCCACAGCAUGAGGAUGAAUUCUGAUCUUCAAGGCAAAACCCUGGCC
rnacentral:lncRNA from 10 species